UACAGAGGUCCCAAGCGUUGUUCGGAUUCACUGGGCGUAAAGGGUGCGUAGGUGGUUGGGUAAGUCUAAUGUGAAAUCUCCGAGCUCAACUCGGAAACUGCAUCGGAUACUAUCUGGCUAGAGGGUUGGAGGGGGGACUGGAAUACUUGGUGUAGCAGUGAAAUGCGUAGAUAUCAAGUGGAACACCAGUGGCGAAGGCGAGUCCCUGGACAACUCCUGACACUGAGGCACGAAAGCUAGGGGAGCAAAC
rnacentral:rRNA from 1 species